rnacentral:rRNA from 1 species
CACGUAGGGACCAAGCGUUGUCCGGAUUCAUUGGGCGUAAAGAGCUCGUAGGCGGUUCGAUAAGUCGGGUGUGAAACCUCCAGGCUCAACCUGGAGACGCCACCCGAUACUGUCGUGACUAGAGUCCAGUAGGGGAGCGUGGAAUUCCUGGUGUAGCGGUGAAAUGCGCAGAUAUCAGGAAGAACACCCGUGGCGAAGGCGGCGACCUGGGUCGAGACUGACGCUGAGGCGCGAAAGCGUGGGGAGCAAACAGG